GUCCAGACUCCUACGGGAGGCAGCAGUGGGGGAUAUUGCACAAUGGGGGAAACCCUGAUGCAGCGACGCCGCGUGGGCGAAGAAGUAUUUCGGUAUGUAAAGCCCUAUCAGCAGGGAAGAAGAAAUGACGGUACCUGAGUAAGAAGCACCGGCUAAAUACGUGCCAGCAGCCGCGGUAAUACGUAUGGUGCAAGCGUUAUCCGGAUUUACUGGGUGUAAAGGGAGCGCAGGCGGCACGGCAAGCCUGAUGUGAAAGCCCGCGGCCCAACCGCGGGACUGUAUUGGGAACUACCGGGCUGGAGUGCCGGAGAGGUAGGCGGAAUUCCUAGUGUAGCGGUGAAAUGCGUAGAUAUUAGGAGGAACACCAGUGGCGAAGGCGGCUUACUGGACUGUAACUGACGUUGAGGCUCGAAAGCGUGGGAGCAAACAGGAUUAGAUACCCUCGUAUA
rnacentral:rRNA from 1 species